AAAUCGGACAAUGAAUUUAUAUAUUUAAUAACUGAUAAUUAAAAGUAAUUAUUUUGUUUUACGGAGCUCGUUAAUUAAAAUGUCAUCAGAUACUUUCUACAUUAUUUUAAUGAGCCUGCAAGUCUAACGGACAUAAAAACUCUAUUGUAUCAGAAAACGAGCAAAAAACGUCGAAUAGACUUUUUUUAUUCUUCUUGGGUUUUUCGUGGCCGUUAAAAAUUUCAUCACAAAUCUCGAUAAGUAACAUGUUUAAUUUGAAAAUAGCCGCAGCGUCAUUUAUGAAUGUUUCAAUUUAUAUUUUUUAUAUUUGUUAAAUAUACCGUUAAAAUACAGUGAAUCUUUCCAGCUCAAAGAAUUAUUCAAUCGUACGACUAUGACAAAAAUCAAUAAUAUUUUAAGCUUUGAGGGUCAAUGGCGUUAUAACUGCUCCAAUUUUUCGCUUCAUGCAGCUGAUAGUCAGAAAAAAACAUUAUAUAAGAAUUCAAGGUACCUUUGAGCCAUUAAAAGUUUUAGUCAGCAAAGUUUCGUCGGAUAGAGAGUUAUUUACUUGCGCGCACACUGUAGAGAUCGAGAUGUUUAAUAAUUCUACGUAAACCAGAAAGAGAUAAAAAAAUCACGCGCGCUUGUAGGUAAGAAAGUGAGAUCGAUCGAUCGCAUUCAUCCACCUUUCUGCGAGAGAAAGAGCGGGUCGUUGCACUUGUUGAUUGCUAUCUCCCUUUUUUCGACAGAACGACUCUCCUAACUUGUUGCAAGGUUACAGUUUUUCAUUUCCUCUUUUAUCUGUGCCUCGAGAAUCGAUCGUCGCGCAACUACGAGGCCUCGUUAUUUAUGGAAGACUCCCGCGAUCCGCUGCCUGUGCUGUGCUCUCUGCAUGGGAAUUCGUUAUAAAACUUCAAUCGUUCAUCGAUUGUUGCAUGGAUAAAUAAAAAGUACUCAGAAUUUUGUUAUUUUUAGAAAUUCUUUAUCGUUUAAUUAUGCAAUUCAAGUUAUUUUUGUGUUUUUGUUUUGUUUUAUCGUACAUCUUUUGCAAUCACUUUCGCACUUCUAUGCACUCUAAUCAGGACUUACUUUAAUAGUAAAAUAAUAAAAAAACGGCUUUACAUGUCAGCAUAUCUGUACUAUGCUUUUUUAAUAAAAAAAAAAAAAAAAA